rnacentral:misc_RNA from 1 species
CUUGUUUUACUCUGUGCCCAUGCUCCUUCGGGGGCGGCUAUGGAUGCGGAUAUUGGUCCUCCGUGCCUCAUAUGCGGUGGGCUUAAGCGGGGGCUGUCGGUGUCGGGAUGGAUACAAUGAGUGGUGGACGGAGCACCAGCAGGAUGUCGUGGUCCCCCGUCACCUUAAGGGGCUCAAGAGACCCGAACUAGGCGAGCCGUGCUCCGUACGAGGAGGGAGAGCUGUCUCACAAU